CUUAUGUGGAGUCCAGCCACCACACCAAAAACGGGGCGUCACCGAAAAGCCAGAUGAGUAGGACCAUC
rnacentral:ncRNA from 1 species